rnacentral:rRNA from 1 species
AGAUUGAACGCUGGCGGAAUGCUUUACACAUGCAAGUCGAACGGCAGCACGGGGGCAACCCUGGUGGCGAGUGGCGCACGGGUGAGUAAUACAUCGGAACGUAUCCUAGAGUGGGGGAUAGCCCGGCGAAAGCCGGAUUAAUACCGCAUACGCUCGAAAGAGGAAAGUGGGGGAUCGUAAGACCUCACGCCCAAGGAGCGGCCGAUGCCGGAUUAGCUUGUUGGUGAGGUAAAAGCUCACCAAGGCGACGAUCCGUAGCUGGUCUGAGAGGACGACCAGCCACACUGGGACUGAGACACGGCCCAGACUCCUACGGGAGGCAGCAGUGGGAAUUUGGACAAGUGGGGAAACCUGAUCCAGCCAUUCCGCGUGAGUGAAGAGGCUGGUGUAAGCUCGUUCGCGAGAAGAACGGUU